UGAUGGAGCACAAUGUGGAUUCUAUGUUAUGCGAUUCAUGAGAGAUGUCUUUGACAAUCUUGUAUCCGAUCACUCUCUCCCAUUAGCUACGUUGUUCACAGGAGGAUGUUAUUCCAAAAAAGAGAUUGAUGAAAUGAGGAUAGAGUAGUGGGCAGAGUUUCUAAGUUCGAUUGAUGAUUGAUGAUGAUGGUGUAACUUUGACACUCAAGUAACCUCAUUUUUUACUCACAUGUAUUAUGAUCAACAAUAUUUUUUUGGAUUUGAUGUAGGAUGUUUGUAUGAUGGAUACUUUUUCAAUGUAGGAUGAUAAUUAACUUUGAAACUAAUGAAUGACCUUUUUAUUA